rnacentral:lncRNA from 1 species
AUGGCAUCAAUUGUUGGAGCGAAAAAUUUCGGGUCCUUCAAUAAGUAUAAUUUGAUUUCCAUGUUGAAAAGCCGGACACCAUUUCAAUUGUCAUCAGUAAAGGAGGAGGGGGUACCUACAAGAAAACACUACGACACUCAAGUCAGUAAGAAUGUAAUCGCAAGAGAGUUAGAAUUAAAUUGUACCUUAUUUUCCCCUCCCUAUGGAUUGUUAGGUUAA